rnacentral:rRNA from 1 species
GGCUCAGGAUGAACGCUGGCGGCGUGCCUAAUACAUGCAAGUCGAACGAGGUGCUUUUGUAGCAAUACGAGAGUAUCCUAGUGGCGAACGGGUGAGUAACGCGUUGGUGACCUACCCCAAAGUGCGGGAUAACAGUCCGAAAGGAUUGCUAAUACCGCAUGUGGUUAUUGGAUUUAGAAACUAAUAACUAAAGGAGCAAUUCGCUUUGGGAGGGACCUGCGUCCCAUCAGCUAGUUGGUGAGGUAACGGCCCACCAAGGCUACGACGGGUAGGGGACCUGAGAGGGUGGCCCCCCACAAUGGAACUGAAACACGGUCCAUACACCUACGGGUGGCAGCAGUAGGGAAUAUUGGGCAAUGGGCGAAAGCCUGACCCAGCAACGCCGCGUGUGUGAUGAAGGCCUUCGGGUCGUAAAGCACUUUUCUGGGAGAUGAGAAAGGACAGUAUCCCAGGAAUAAGUCUCGGCUAACUACGUGCCAGCAGCCGCGGUAAAACGUAGGAGGCGAGCGUUAUCCGGAUUCACUGGGCGUAAAGCGCGUGCAGGUGGCGCGGUAAGUUGGGCGUGAAAUCUCCUGGCUCAACUAGGAGAGGUCGUUCAAUACUACCGUGCUUGAGAGCAGAAGAGGAAGAUGGAAUUCCCGGUGUAGUGGUGAAAUGCGUAGAUAUCGGGAGGAACACCAGUGGCGAAGGCGAUCUUCUGGUCUGUUUCUGACACUCAGACGCGACAGCUAGGGUAGUAAACGGGAUUAGAGACCCCGGUAAUCCUAGCCGUAAACGAUGUGAACUUGGCGUUGGUGGGUUAAACUCCAUCAGUGCCGUAGCAAACGCGAUAAGUUCACCGCCUGGGGACUACGGCCGCAAGGUAAAACUCAAAG